rnacentral:sRNA from 1 species
AUGCACAGUAUGAUCAGCUCAGUGGAUGUGAAGUCAGAAGUUCCUGUGGGCCUGGAGCCCAUCUCACCUUUAGACCUAAGGACAGACCUCAGGAUGAUGAUGCCCGUGGUGGACCCUGUUGUCCGUGAGAAGCAAUUGCAGCAGGAAUUACUUCUUAUCCAGCAGCAGCAACAAAUCCAGAAGCAGCUCCUGAUAGCAGAAUUUCAGAAACAGCAUGAGAACUUGACACGGCAGCACCAGGCUCAGCUUCAGGAGCAUAUCAAGGAACUUCUAGCCAUAAAACAGCAACAAGAACUCCUAGAAAAGGAGCAGAAACUGGAGCAGCAGAGGCAAGAACAGGAAGUAGAGAGGCAUCGCAGAGAACAGCAGCUUCCUCCUCUCAGAGGCAAAGAUAGAGGACGAGAAAGGGCAGUGGCAAGUACAGAAGUAAAGCAGAAGCUUCAAGAAUUCCUAUUGAGUAAAUCAGCAACGAAAGACACUCCAACUAAUGGAAAAAAUCAUUCCGUGAGCCGCCAUCCCAAGCUCUGGUACACGGCUGCCCACCACACAUCAUUGGAUCAAAGCUCUCCACCCCUUAGUGGAACAUCUCCAUCCUACAAGUACACAUUACCAGGAGCACAAGAUGCAAAGGAUGAUUUCCCCCUUCGAAAAACUGCCUCUGAGCCCAACUUGAAGGUGCGGUCCAGGUUAAAACAGAAAGUGGCAGAGAGGAGAAGCAGCCCCUUACUCAGGCGGAAGGAUGGAAAUGUUGUCACUUCAUUCAAGAAGCGAAUGUUUGAGGUGACAGAAUCCUCAGUCAGUAGCAGUUCUCCAGGCUCUGGUCCCAGUUCACCAAACAAUGGGCCAACUGGAAGUGUUACUGAAAAUGAGACUUCGGUUUUGCCCCCUACCCCUCAUGCUGAGCAAAUGGUUUCACAGCAACGCAUUCUAAUUCAUGAAGAUUCCAUGAACCUGCUAAGUCUUUAUACCUCUCCUUCUUUGCCCAACAUUACCUUGGGGCUUCCCGCAGUGCCAUCCCAGCUCAAUGCUUCGAAUUCACUCAAAGAAAAGCAGAAGUGUGAGACGCAGACGCUUAGGCAAGGUGUUCCUCUGCCUGGGCAGUAUGGGGGCAGCAUCCCGGCAUCUUCCAGCCACCCUCAUGUUACUUUAGAGGGAAAGCCACCCAACAGCAGCCAUCAGGCUCUCCUGCAGCAUUUAUUAUUGAAAGAACAAAUGCGACAGCAAAAGCUUCUUGUAGCUGGUGGAGUUCCCUUACAUCCUCAGUCUCCCUUGGCAACAAAAGAGAGAAUUUCACCUGGAAUUAGAGGUACCCACAAAUUGCCCCGUCACAGACCCCUGAACCGAACCCAGUCUGCACCUUUGCCUCAGAGCACGUUGGCUCAGCUGGUCAUUCAACAGCAACACCAGCAAUUCUUGGAGAAGCAGAAGCAAUACCAGCAGCAGAUCCACAUGAACAAACUGCUUUCGAAAUCUAUUGAACAACUGAAGCAACCAGGCAGUCACCUUGAGGAAGCGGAGGAAGAGCUUCAGGGGGACCAGGCGAUGCAGGAAGACAGAGCGCCCUCUAGUGGCAACAGCACUAGGAGCGACAGCAGUGCUUGUGUGGAUGACACACUGGGACAAGUUGGGGCUGUGAAGGUCAAGGAGGAACCAGUGGACAGUGAUGAAGAUGCUCAGAUCCAGGAAAUGGAAUCUGGGGAGCAGGCUGCUUUUAUGCAACAGCCCUUCCUGGAACCCCCGCACACACGUGCGCUCUCUGUGCGCCAAGCUCCGCUGGCUGCGGUUGGCAUGGAUGGAUUAGAGAAACACCGUCUUGUCUCCAGGACUCACUCUUCCCCUGCUGCCUCUGUUUUACCUCACCCAGCAAUGGACCGCCCCCUCCAGCCUGGCUCUGCAACUGGAAUUGCCUAUGACCCCUUGAUGCUGAAACACCAGUGCGUUUGUGGCAAUUCCACCACCCACCCUGAGCAUGCUGGACGAAUACAGAGUAUCUGGUCACGACUGCAAGAAACUGGGCUGCUAAAUAAAUGUGAGCGAAUUCAAGGUCGAAAAGCCAGCCUGGAGGAAAUACAGCUUGUUCAUUCUGAACAUCACUCACUGUUGUAUGGCACCAACCCCCUGGACGGACAGAAGCUGGACCCCAGGAUACUCCUAGGUGAUGACUCUGAAAAGUUUUUUUCCUCAUUACCUUGUGGUGGACUUGGGGUGGACAGUGACACCAUUUGGAAUGAGCUGCACUCGUCCGGUGCUGCACGCAUGGCUGUUGGCUGUGUCAUCGAGCUGGCUUCCAAAGUGGCCUCAGGAGAGCUGAAGAAUGGGUUUGCUGUUGUGAGGCCCCCUGGCCAUCACGCUGAAGAAUCCACAGCCAUGGGGUUCUGCUUUUUUAAUUCAGUUGCAAUUACCGCCAAAUACUUGAGAGACCAACUAAAUAUAAGCAAGAUAUUGAUUGUAGAUCUGGAUGUUCACCAUGGAAACGGUACCCAGCAGGCCUUUUAUGCUGACCCCAGCAUCCUGUACAUUUCACUCCAUCGCUAUGAUGAAGGGAACUUUUUCCCUGGCAGUGGAGCCCCAGAUGAGGUUCGGUUUAUUUCUUUAGAGCCCCACUUUUAUUUGUAUCUUUCAGGUAAUUGCAUUGCAUGA